rnacentral:rRNA from 1 species
CCUACGGGGGGCUGCAGUGGGGAAUAUUGGACAAUGGGGGGAACCCUGAUCCAGCCAUGCCGCGGGUGUGAAGAAGGCCCUCGGGUUGUAAAGCACUUUCAGUGAGGAAGAACGCCUGGUGGUUAAUACCCAUCAGGAAAGACAUCACUCACAGAAGAAGCACCGGCUAACUCCGUGCCAGCAGCCGCGGUAAUACGGAGGGUGCGAGCGUUAAUCGGAAUUACUGGGCGUAAAGCGCGCGUAGGUGGCUUGAUAAGCCGGUUGUGAAAGCCCCGGGCUCAACCUGGGAACGGCAUCCGGAACUGUCAAGCUAGAGUGCAGGAGAGGAAGGUAGAAUUCCCGGUGUAGCGGUGAAAUGCGUAGAGAUCGGGAGGAAUACCAGUGGCGAAGGCGGCCUUCUGGACUGACACUGACACUGAGGUGCGAAAGCGUGGGUAGCAAACAGGAUUAGAUACCCGAGUAGUC